AGUUUAUAGUUUUGAUUUUUGAUUUUAAUUAAACCGUUUAUUUCUUUGUAACAGUGUGCUUUUGUGGUGAAAAGAGAGAGAUGGUGAAGACAACAUUGACAUAUUAACCUCCGUUCAGAAAUGAAGACAGUUUAUUCCAGCACACGUUAAUCCAUGCAGUCCUUUGCUUCAUUUAUUUUUUAAUACCUGUGUGUCAACAUGGAGGACUUAGAACUCAUGGAACCUUCCAACCAGAGUUGUUCCUGGCCUGAAGUGGAUUAUGGUCAGGUCCUCAACGUCUUCUUUAUGUUGUUUCUGUCCGUGGCAAUAACAUUGGGUAACGCGGUCAGCCUGACUAUCUUCCUGGGCUCCAGGCAUUUCCGAACCCCCCAGGGGUACCUCAAGGCAUCUCUGGCCACGGCUGAUUUAUCAGUUGGGGUGCUGGUCAUCCCUUACUCCAUCUACACUGAGACGGAGACACUGCUGGCUGGGAGAGAAGGUGUGAAGGUUGACUAGCAUUCUGAUUAAGGCUAACUUCCUUUUUUAACCUUCUAUUUUUCCAACAUGCCAAUGUUACAGUAAGUUCUUUAUUCUGAGCUUCCUUGGUUUAUUUGUUCUAAAGGUCUCUUGUUCUGUGUUCCCCUCUGAUCCUUUCCAAAAGGAUCCCAGACAAAGGGUCUCGGUCCCUGUUUCCUGAUAGGGCCUAUAUUUUCUGGAUGUACAUUAGUUUCAGUGUCCACCAUCUUCCUGCUGUCCGUUGAGAGGGGUAUAACUGUGCUGAAACCCCUCCAUAAGAACCUGAUGGUGACCAGAGAGAGGACCCUGGGUCUGAUCACUCUGUCCUGGUUGUUCUGCUUCCUCCUGGCUGUCUCCCCUCUAAUCCUCAGUGACACUGUCACGCUGGAGUACAACCUCUGCAGCAAGAUGUGCAACUAUGCCCUCUCUCCACAGUGGCAGUGCUAUCAGGAACAGGAGAGCACGAGCAGGACAGGGUGGAGCGUGAUGCUUCUGUUUCCCGCCUUUGACAUCUCUCUCCUGGGUGCCACGAUAGUUGUCAAUCUGGUCACCCUCGCCGCCAUCCGCCGCUUCUGCCGUGUUAGGAGGCGUGCUCUCACCAAAGCUCAUCCCACACACUCGGGCCCAACAUUCUCCCACCUGCGAGCGGCCAAGACUAUCCUCAUCCUCACGGCGUUCCUCUUAGCCUCGGUAGCCCCCACGGCAGUUCUGGUGGUGGCGAGCGUUCUCGGUCUAAACUGGUGCCGGUUCUCCCUCUAUGCCUUCUGGGCGCUAGCCUGCAGCAGCGGGUGGAACGUUCUGAUCUACAGUGCACAGGACCGACGGUUCCGACAGAGGGUGAGGGAGCUGUUCCUGGGUAGAAGAGGCACCAGGAGAAGGACACAUCAGGGUGCCGAACCUGGUGUUGCCCCGGCCGUGGCCGUAAUCAGGAAUGCCUUGACCCCUGACAUCACCCUGACCUCGGUGCUCACCCCAGAGAUCACCAUCAGACAUGACGUCACCAUUAAAAAGAAGACGGGGCACCCUGGCUGAACUGCCGACACAACGCAAUAAUAGUCUUAAAACAGUUAAAACCCCACAAUGAUUCAGACGGUGACAUUUGUUUUUGGACCUGUAGUCUAGCACUUUGGAUUGGAGAUGGAUAUUCUUUGCACGCAAUGAUUGUCUGAAGUCUGCGGGUCACAGACAUCUCCAGAUGCUGGGUGUCUUCCCUAGUGAUGCUCUGCCAGGCCUAUUCUGCAGCUAUCUUCAGGUUUUAUGGGCCUUCCUUGGUCUACAAGGUCCCAUUGCUGCACCAAACAAACUCUUCUUUCAUCAUUUAAAUGUAGCGAAUGGUUUAUUUUGGUCCCUGACCAACAUAUUCAGUUGGAUCUGUCUAGAAUCAGUACUAGACUUUAUUGUUUAUACAUUAACAUUCCAAGCUAUGAAGCCAACUUUGGCCCCCUAAUAAUGUGCUGAAUUGUUUAAAUGUUAAAUCCGAUUUGGAUGAAAAUAUCCUCAAAUUAAAGUUGUCAGUCUGCACAUUAACACAAUAGUCGUUGUAUCAAAUUCAAAGUACUGGAAUACAGUGUAAUGAAAAGAAGUUUUAGAAGAAUACGUUUGGUUUUCUGGAAACUCACGGUUUCAGUUAACAUAGUUUUAUUAUGAGUAGAUUAUGUGAUUCAUAUUGGAUAUUAUAAAUCUAUCUGGACGAUUUCACAAAAUAUUGUAAACAUGAUUAACUGCUAUUGUCUUGGGAAUUAAUGUUCAAAAUGUUGUACUUGUUAGAGCUGAUUCAUGGUUCAAUAGACCUACUUCUUGACUAUGUAGGCAAUGACACAUCUAAUCCAUUCAUUAUUUUAUAUAAAGAAGAAAGUUGUCCAGGGUUUCUCUCUCCUCUGGCUAUCAAAAUCAAAAUGUGAUGCUAGCUGAUCCUAUGUAAAUAUAUUGUAUUUCAGAUAAAUAGCAACCAAUUAAUUGUGAGUACACAUACAUAACAUCAGCCUUGCCUUAAUCGCCUCUCUCUUUUUUGUUUAUGUUUACUACACCAUGAAUUCCUACAACUUUUCUGAAAGGUCAUCCAUCUGAAAAGUCACACCUUGCAAACCAAUCAUUGGUUAAACAGACAAAACAAGUGUGACAAUUGAUUUUAGACUACUAAAACCAAGAGAUCAGUGCCCUCAUGUCACCACCAAUCAGGGUGAGAUCACUUUUCAUUACAGAGAUACAGGUUUCUUUUGUAAAGCCUUUGGGUUGGGAUUAAUUCAUGCCCACUGUAACAAUGUUUUAGGCAAUAUUUUCACCCUCUCUGAUAGUUGUAGGUUUUCUUUUAUUCACACAAGAACAGUCUGUUAGAUAAUUGGGACAUUAGAAAAAGAGCUACUGUGUAAAAACUGCAAUGUUGGUUUGAUGGAAUUUAUCACUUUAUUUUGACAAGACAAAAAAAAUAAACAGCAAAAAUAUAAACUUCAUCAAUAAACCCUGUGAUUAUCGUUGGCAAAAUGGGGAGCAAACCAACUUAACCACCAGUUUAGGCCUUAUUACGAAACAUUAAUUACUGUGAAAAUAAAAGUAUAUUUUAUAAACAAGGGCUGAUUUGUAAAUUGUACAGUAUGUUUUUAUAAAUACAUUGUAAAUGCAAGUAAAGAAACAACUGGUUAGAGUCAGUCAUCAUAAUUUAAUAAGGACCUAUAUUCACAGUAUCAUACAACUGCCAUUGUGUCACAAUAUAAUGAUAAAUAUUUAGUAAAUACACCAAAGUUUUGACUUUAGUCAAACCCUUUAAAAUGAACCACUUUGUACUCCAAGUUUACAUUUAAAAAAAGUUCAUUAUGAAUACUAUGUAUACAUUUUAACAGAGUAUCAUGAAUGUCAUUCCUCUCUGUAAAAGUACUUUAAAGAAUCGACUAGAUAACAUAAUAAACACAACAGGAAACAAUACAAAUAUGGAAAUAUAUCAGUUAGAUGUUGUCAUUGA
rnacentral:lncRNA from 1 species